CUAACUCAGGAAGCUGGCAAGAAGUUUGCAUUUGGGAAAAUAAUUGAGUUGAUGACAUCUGUUGCCAAGGCACUUCAGGCACGAGGGACAACAUAUCUGUUGUGUUCAGCUGGAUGAAAAAUUACAUUAUGAAGUUUUCAUCCACUCCCAAGCCAACAGAAGUUUUAGCUGCUAACAAGAAGAUUGCGUCUCAGAAAAUAGCGAACUUGAUGACAACUGAUACCAAGACACUUCAAGUUUGCUUUCUCUUUACCAUUUGGGAUAUGUAUAUAUAAUUUACUUUAAUUUGUGCAUUACAAGACCCUAUUCAGUUUAUGCAUUUGCAGAGUCGCUGUUUUGUAGCCAAUGUACAUAUCUACAUAAACAAAACUUUUAGUCUAUGUAAAGGUGUGCAUGUCAACUCCACACAUAUGUUCAUAUAUUGCCAAAACAACUUAUAUAGUUAGAUUGAGUACAGCCAAAUCACUGAAUUGUGUUUUGACUCUUUUUGAUAUGAAAGUCAUUUUGUGCAUAUGGUGUUAUUGACCUUCUCAAGGUUUACUAUCAUAUAUAUAUUUCAGAUUAUUCUGGCAUGAUUAAGGUAUAGAUAUG